rnacentral:rRNA from 1 species
GCUAAUACCGCAUACGCCCUUCGGGGGAAAGAUUUAUCGCUAAGAGAUGGACCCGCGUUGGAUUAGAUAGUUGGUGAGGUAACGGCUCACCAAGUCAGCGAUCCAUAGCUGGUUUGAGAGGAUGAUCAGCCACACUGGGACUGAGACACGGCCCAGACUCCUACGGGAGGCAGCAGUGGGGAAUAUUGGACAAUGGGGGCAACCCUGAUCCAGCCAUGCCGCGUGAGUGAAGAAGGCCUUCGGGUUGUAAAGCUCUUUCAGAUGCGAAGAUGAUGACGGUAACAUCAGAAGAAGCCCCGGCUAAUUUCGUGCCAGCAGCCGCGGUAAUACGAAAGGGGCUAGCGUUGUUCGGAUUUACUGGGCGUAAAGGGCACGCAGGCGGUCUUGCCAGUCAGGGGUGAAAGCCCGAGGCUCAACCUCGGAACUGCCUCUGAUACUGUAAGACUUGAGACUAGGAGAGGGUGGUGGAAUUCCCAGUGUAGAGGUGAAAUUCGUAGAUAUUGGGAGGAACACCAGAGGCGAAGGCGGCCACCUGGACUAGAUCUGACGCUCAGGUGCGAAAGCGUGGGGAGCAAACAGGAUU